rnacentral:miRNA from 7 species
UGAUUGCCAAAUAUUUUUCCUCAGGCAGCUUGGGUAUAGCUGCCCAAGUCACCUGAGGAGGCUUUUUCCUUUUAUUAAGGACUAGAAAGUCC